AGCAUGUGGAGUGGGAUAUCAUACAAUAGAGGCAGGUAGAGAGAAGUGUAAACCUUGUCCUCCACACAAAUACGGAAAAAAAUGUGGUAAUAAUUGCAUCUGUAAAGCAAAUGAAAGUUGUGACAAUAAAAAUGGGAGGUGUAUUCCAUGGACCACAUUCAGAACAUAUACUGAAUAUUGGAAUUACACAAGAUAUCAAACGCAAUCUACAGAAGAAAGCGAUAGACGAAUUACAGUUGAUGUAAAUCUAACAAAACACAAAGCCACUAAAAACUAUGCAAUACUCAUCUACAUGAUCUGCGCUGGUUUCAUCAUACUGGUUUUAUGUGCAGUUGCAGCGUUUUACAAAUACCAAAAGAAUGUAAAGAAUGUACCGCAAGGUACUAUCAAAUAUGGAGAAAGAGGUUCAGAUAUUCCGCCAAUUCCACCACGACCAAUGCAGCCGAAUGUGUUUAUUGAACUACACGAUAAUGAAAGCGUAUAUGAAUUAAUUGAUGACGCAAACCUUCUAAAUUUUUAAAACUCAAAAUACAAUAGCAUUGCUCUGACAUGAUGCAAUUGUAUAUUUACACAAUGCGAUAUGUGAUUUCUGCAUUGCAAUAUACAUGAAAAUUAAAGUCUCACAAUUAUUUGCUAGAAGCACUUUGACUAUUACAUCGAUUUAUUCAUUACCUUUAUAAAUGCUGGCUUGUAUAUAUUCUGCAUUUGAAAUUACUACUUAAUGAUGAUCAACGAGGACGAUCACGUUUUUGUUCUUGAACUACAAAAUUAUGAUAAUACCAAAUUUAGAAAAUAUUUGUUUUAAUCAUUCAUCAUUAUGCAUUUUUUUUACUCAUUUUUUAAAAACCUAAUUUUUGUAAGUAAAGAUUAAUUACUGUGUAAAAAAGGACACCAUUAACUGUAAUAAAGAUAAAAAAUUGAUAUAUGAAUUGUAUGUUCCAUUGAUUCUCAGCCAACUCUCAACAGAAGAACGACUUCUGAAAGAGCUGUCACUUGACAUAUACAUUAUGGAGAAACUAGCUGUUGACAAUAUCUACAGGCAAAGUUUGCUCACACGAAUUUCACACGAAUCUUGCA